rnacentral:hammerhead_ribozyme from 1 species
AUCCAGAUAAUGAGUCCCAAAUGAGACGAAACCCGCGUCCUGAAU